rnacentral:rRNA from 1 species
UACGUAGGUGGCAAGCGUUAUCCGGAUUUAUUGGGCGUAAAGGGAACGCAGGCGGUCCUUUAAGUCUGAUGUGAAAGCCUUCGGCUUAACCGGAGUAGUGCAUUGGAAACUGGGAGACUUGAGUGCAGAAGAGGAGAGUGGAACUCCAUGUGUGGCGGUGAAAUGCGUAGAUAUAUGGAAGAACACCAGUGGCGAAAGCGGCUCUCUGGUCUGUAACUGACGCUGAGGUUCGAAAGCGUGGGUAGCAAACAGG